rnacentral:lncRNA from 1 species
GCAGCGGGCUGCCCGGCUCCCCGCCCACGCUCACGGCGCCUACGGCCCCCAAAGCCCCGAGUUCACGCAGCGUAGGAUACGAUGGGCUGCACCAUCACCUUCUGCACCUUUUGGCCCUGGCCGCGGUACGCCAUGGUGGAAGUCACAAAGACCACACGAGUAGGAAGGCCGCCUCGGAAAGCGACUUCCGGAAGCAAGACCCGGAAACGGAAGUGCAGUGGUCGUCGGCGACGCGGGCCGGUCCUGGGGAACGCCUCUCUAGGCCAGGAGCCGCUUUUUCUCUAUGCUGAUAGACUCCGCCGGCGGCCUUCCGACUCAACCGCUCUUUGAAGUCGAGGUCGGUCCUACAGCGCCACCUGGAGGUAGGCUGAGAGGCUUGCCUCUGCCUAGGUGCUCUUCUGAGAGCUGCUCUGGAAUUUAGAGGCGGCAUCUUGUCCAGAACCAUCUGCAGACUCCCCUUAUUUGUUUUGGGCCCCAGAGCUAGUCUAGAUGGUCAUGCCCGAAGCAGUGGUGGAGUUGUGGCUUGUUCAAUAACAGAUUCAACCCUCAUCACCUUUAUGCAGAGUUAACUGUUGCAGUGGCAACUGAAGAUGGCAAUCUAACUAGCUUGGAGGUAUUGAAAUCGGCUUGUUGGACUCAGAUCUCUCUCAGUUGUGUGACCGGUGAUAAUUAAGUCAUUAGGCCUCAGCAUCUCCGUCCCGCAAGGGGACAGGAGGUGAAGAUUCAGGGAGGUAGUAGUGCACAGGUGCUCCUAGAACACAUCUGUAAUCUCAGCUUGUGGAAGGCGCAAGCUGGGCGUGGUGGUGCAUGAUUUUAAUCGCAGCCCUCAGGAGGCAGAAGCAGGUGGAUCUCUGAGUUCGAGGGCAGCCUGGUCUACAGAGUUCCAAAGCAACCGGGGCU